CGCACCUUGCGCUCUCGGGUUAUUCCUGGGAGCAUGCUGGUUGGAGUUACAGAACAGCUCAACCCCGCUUUCUUAAUUGAAAGUAGCUCAGGGUUAGGAUCGUGGCAGCUUGUUGCUCUUCGCAAGCAACUCUGUCGAAAGUCAAGCGGCUGAACUUUGUAUCGUGCGCUAGACACUAUUGUUAUAACAUCCUUUAUUGGUCUCAAUAGUUUAGUACGAAAAUUAAGUAGGCUUUGUUAAAUCACAAUUUUUCUAUCUUCGGGUAGCAAAAAUUCAUUUUUAAGCUUGUUCUCAAAUCAAGUAGGACUACCCGCUGAACUUAA
rnacentral:misc_RNA from 1 species